GAGGCUUUAGCUUAAUUAAAGUGUUUGAGUUGCAUUCAGAUGAUGAGUAUUAGAGUUAUUCAGGCCUU
rnacentral:tRNA from 1 species